rnacentral:rRNA from 1 species
UACGGAGGGUGCAAACGUUGCUCGGAAUCAUUGGGCGUAAAGCGCACGUAGGUGGUGAGACAAGUCAGGUGUGAAAGCCCUCGGCUUAACCGAGGAAGUGCACUUGAAACUAUCUCGCUGGAGUAUCGAAGAGGAUCGCGGAAUUCCCGGUGUAGAGGUGAAAUUCGUAGAUAUCGGGAGGAACACCAGUGGCGAAGGCGGCGAUCUGGGCGAUAACUGACACUGAGGUGCGAAAGCGUGGGGAGCAAACAGG